rnacentral:rRNA from 1 species
GACGAACGCUGGCGGCGUGCUUAACACAUGCAAGUCGAACGGAAAGGCCCUGCUUUUGUGGGGUGCUCGAGUGGCGAACGGGUGAGUAACACGUGAGUAACCUGCCCUUGACUUUGGGAUAACUUCAGGAAACUGGGGCUAAUACCGGAUAGGAGCUCCUGCUGCAUGGUGGGGGUUGGAAAGUUUCGGCGGUUGGGGAUGGACUCGCGGCUUAUCAGCUUGUUGGUGGGGUAGUGGCUUACCAAGGCUUUGACGGGUAGCCGGCCUGAGAGGGUGACCGGCCACAUUGGGACUGAGAGACGGCCCAGACUCGAACGGGAGGCAACAGUGGGGAAUAUUGCACAAUGGGCGGAAGCCUGAUGCAGCAACGCCGCGUGCGGGAUGACGGCCUUCGGGGUGUAAACCGCUUUCGCCUGUGACGAAGCGUGAGUGACGGUAAUGGGUAAAGAAGCACCGGCUAACUACGUG